rnacentral:tRNA from 1 species
GAUAGCUCAGUCAGUAGAGCACAAGACUCUCAAUCUGAGGGUUGUGAGUUCAAGCCCCAUGUUGGGCA